rnacentral:tRNA from 1 species
GGGACCGUGGUGUAGGUAGGGGUAAGCGUGAUUGCCUCUCACCCAGUCGGCCUGGGUUCGAUCCCAGACGGUCCCG